rnacentral:rRNA from 1 species
GAUGAACGCUGGCGGCGUGCCUAAUACAUGCAAGUCGAGCGAACAGACGAGGAGCUUGCUCCUCUGACGUUAGCGGCGGACGGGUGAGUAACACGUGGAUAACCUACCUAUAAGACUGGGAUAACUUCGGGAAACCGGAGCUAAUACCGGAUAACAUGUUGAACCGCAUGGUUUAACAGUGAAAGACGGUCUUGCUGUCACUUAUAGACGGAUCCGCGCCGCAUUAGCUAGUUGGUAAGGUAACGGCUUACCAAGGCAACGAUGCGUAGCCGACCUGAGAGGGUGAUCGGCCACACUGGAACUGAGACACGGUCCAGACUCCUACGGGAGGCAGCAGUAGGGAAUCUUCCGCAAAGGGCGAAAGCCUGACGGAGCAACGCCGCGUGAGUGAAGAAGGUCUUCGGAUCGUAAAACUCUGUUAUUAGGGAAGAACAAAUGUGUAAGUAACUAUGCACGUCUUGACGGUACCUAAUCAGAAAGCCACGGCUAACUACGUG